CAGACACCUACGGGUGGCAGCAGUCGAGAAUAAUUCACAAUGGACGAAAGUCUGAUGGUGCAACGCCGCGUGGAGGAUGAAGGUCUUCGGAUUGUAAACUCCUGUCAUUUGAGAGCAAGACCUGGCGGUGAAUAGCCGACAGGGUUGAUAGUAUCGAAAGAGGAAGGGACGGCUAACUUCGUGCCAGCAGCCGCGGUAAUACGAAGGUCCCGAGCGUUGUUCGGAAUCACUGGGCGUAAAGGGAGCGUAGGCGGCAAAGGUAAGUCAGGUGUGAAAUCCCGGGGCUCAACCCCGGAACUGCACCCGAUACUGCUUUGCUAGAGUAAUGGAGGGGUAGCUGGAAUUCUCGGUGUAGCAGUGAAAUGCGUGGAUAUCGAGAGGAACACUUGUGGCGAAGGCGAGCUACUGGACAUUGACUGACGCUGAGGCUCGAAGGCCAGGGUAGCGAAAGGGAUUAGAUACCCCUGUAGUCCUGGCAGUAAACGGUGUGCGCUUGGUGUGAGGGGUUUCGACCCCCCUUGUGCCGGAGCUAACGCGUUAAGCGCACCGCCUGGGGAGUACGGUCGCAAGACUAAAACUCAAAGAAAUUGACGGGGACCCGCACAAGCGGUGGAGUAUGUGGCUUAAUUCGAUGCAACGCGAAGAACCUUACCUGGGCUUGACAUGCAUUGCUAAGCUGUUGAAAGGCAGCGAGUCUUCGGACACCUUGCACAGGUGCUGCAUGGCCGUCGUCAGCUCGUGUCGUGAGAUGUUGGGUUAAGUCCCGCAACGAGCGCAACCCCUGUGAACAGUUGCCAGCACUUCGGGUGGGGACUCUGUUCAGACUGCCCAGAUCAACUGGGAGGAAGGUGGGGAUGACGUCAGGUCAGUAUGGCCCUUACGCCCAGGGCUGCAC
rnacentral:rRNA from 1 species